CAGGGCUGGGACCCCGAGCGCGGCAUUUGGCCGUGUUGCCCCGCUGCCUGGCAGCUGAGAGUCGCUCCCGCCGCUGGGGGGGAAACCGAGCUCUGUGGCUCCAGGGGUGUUGUCCACCCGCCUGUAAUCAGGGUCUGGGUGCGCGAGCGCUUGUGCUCAGCUGGCAGCCUGUGUGGGGUGACCGCCCCGUUAGCGGGGUGCGGGUCAAGGUGCCCCCUGAGUGGGAGAGAAGGAGCCUCCCGCGGCCGGUAGGGAUGGGGGCUGCCCUGUAAGGCGGGGAGCGCCAGUGCCUCGCAAUCCCAGGCCCUUUGCAAUGGAUGCAGUGGCGGGGGUCCCCUGUAAUCAGGGAAGAUGACUCUUUGGCCGCUGCUUGUUGUGUGCCCAGCUCCAUUUGCCCAGUCUGCCCGCCUCUGUGAUCCCCCGCAGCACCGGCUGGAAGCGCGCCGUGCGCCAGUGAGGAGCUGCUGCAGGAGGAGGAGGAGGAGGAGGAAGAAGAAGAAGCGGUGUGGGGACACGGGAGGCAGGAGCGACCAUGAAGGAGAUUCUUUUUAUUGUCAAUCUCUUUGUAUUAACUUGUCUUUUGAAGCCACAGUUGAAAUGUGUGUAUUGCUGUUGUUACUUCCCAGUUCCCACUAGAGACCUUUGAGAAUAAAUUUUAUUUGUAUGUUGUUGUUGCAAUGGA